CGAGGGGGGGGAGCAUUAGAGGGUCAGGCACCCAUAGCGGCAGCCUUCUCAGAAGAGGGACAGGCUGUUUCAUAACGUGACAGUGGAGCUGCAGAGAAUGGUGGUUCUACCUCUACUGCCCCGGGAGGUCAGGACUCCAGAGUUAGGUCUCUCACCAGCAGAUGUCUGGAUUGCCAGUCUGGGGCAAAUCCACCCAGCUCCCAGGGCUGGGAGAGGGUCUGACUGCCCUUCCUGUGGCACAGAGCCCCUCACCUCUCAAGGAGCCCUAGUC